AACGAACGCUGGCGGCGUGCUUAACACAUGCAAGUCGAACGCGAACAGUUUCUUCGGAAACUUAGUAGAGUGGCGCACGGGUGAGUAACGCGUAAGUAAUCUACCCUGGCAUCUGGAAUAACUCACCGAAAGGUGUGCUAAUACCGGAUACGCUGAUUUAUCAGGAAAGGUGGCCUCUUCAUGAAAGCUACUGUGCCGGGAGGAGCUUGCGUACCAUUAGCUAGUUGGUGGGGUAAUGGCCUACCAAGGCGACGAUGGUUAGCGGGUCUGAGAGGAUGAUCCGCCACACUGGAACUGGAACACGGACCAGACUCCUACGGGAGGCAG
rnacentral:rRNA from 1 species